CUGCUUAUGGGCGUUCUGAAUGUUAUUUAAUCUCUUGCAGAGGUGACGAACUUGGUGGAGGAGGUGACACGUUUCUCGGAUAACAAUUCUGAGGCAAACUCUCUUCGAUCUUUCCAGUCGGACUCCUGUGAUGAUAAUGUGGCCUCUUUUGGGGAGAUGCAGAGCUAUGGCAUGGAUGCUCAUCAACAGCUUCAGCGUGAGAAUCAGUUUUGUGUUGAGUUCGUCAAAGAAUAUUUUGUGGAUUGUAAGA